rnacentral:rRNA from 1 species
AGGAUUAGACACCCCGGUAGUGCAGGUCCGUAAAGGAUGUCGACUAGUUCGUUGGCAUCCUUGAGAUUUCAGUGCCGUAGCUAACUACAUUAAGUUGACCACUUGGGGAGCACGGCCCAAGGGUAAAACUCAAUUGAAUUGACGGGGUUAAGAACAAGCGGUGGAGCAUGUGGUUUAAUUUAAAGCAACUCGAAGAACCUACCCAGUCCUUGACAUCCAAUGAACUUUCCAAAGAUGGAUUGGUGCAUUCGGGAACAUUGAGCCAGGCGCUACAGGGCUGUGGUCAUCUCCUUUCGUGAGAUGUAGGGUUAAGUCCCGUAACGAGAGCAACUUUUGUCCUUAGUUAUCACCAGAUCAGGCUGGGCACUCUAAGGAGAUAUCCGGUGACAAACCGGACGAAGGUGGUGAUGACGUCAAGUCAUCAUGGCCCUUACGGCCUGGGCUACACACGUGCUACAAUGGUCGGUACAGAGGGUUGCCAAGCCGCGAGGUGGACCUAAUCUCACAAAACCGAUCGUAGUCGGGAUCGCAGUCUGCAACUCGACUGUGUGAAGUCGGAAUCGCUAGUAAUCGCGAAUCAGAAUGACGCGGUGAAUCCGUUCCCGGGCCUUGUUCACACCGCCAGACACCCCGUGGGAGUGGGUUGCACC